rnacentral:rRNA from 1 species
UACGUAGGGGGCAAGCGUUGUCCGGAUUUAUUGGGCGUAAAGAGCGUGUAGGCGGCCUGGUAGGUCAGCUGUGAAAACUCGAGGCUCAACCUCGAGACGUCGAUGGAAACCAUCUGGCUAGAGUCCGGAAGAGGAGAGUGGAAUUCCUGGUGUAGCGGUGAAAUGCGCAGAUAUCAGGAGGAACACCGGUGGCGAAGGCGGGAUCCUGGGCCAGUACUGACGCUGAGGAGCGAAAGCGUGGGGAGCAAACAGG